rnacentral:rRNA from 1 species
UCUUUGAACGCACCUUGCGCUUAUCGGUGUUCCGAUGAGCAUGCCUGUUUGAGCGUCUUUAAAUUCUCAACCCCUCUCGAUUCGUUUCGAGAGGGAGCUUGGAUUGUGGAGGCUGCCGGAGACCUGUUUUUCAGGACUCGGGCUCCUCUGAAAUGUAUUGGCUUGCGGUCGACUUUCGACCAUGCAUGACAAGGCCUUUGGCGUGAUAAUGAUCGCCGCUCGCCGAAGUGCAUGAAUGAAUGGUCUCGUGCCUCUAAUCGGUCGACGCCUUUUCGAAGGUUGUCUUCCUUAUCGACGUUUGACCUCAAAUCAGGUAGGACUACCCGCUGAACUUAAGCAUAUCAAUAAGCGGA